rnacentral:rRNA from 1 species
GACGAACGCUGGCGGCGUGCUUAACACAUGCAAGUCGAACGGAAAGGCCCUGCUUUUGUGGGGUGCUCGAGUGGCGAACGGGUGAGUAACACGUGAGUAACCUGCCCUUGACUUUGGGAUAACUUCAGGAAACUGGGGCUAAUACCGGAUAGGAGCUACUGCUGCAUGGUGGGGGUUGGUAAGUUUCGGCGGUUGGGGAUGGACUCGCGGCUUAUCAGCUUGUUGGUGGGGUAGUGGCUUACCAAGGCUUUGACGGGUAGCCGGCCUGAGAGGGUGACCGGCCACACUGGGACUGAGAUACGGCACAGACUCCUACGGGACGCAGCGGUGGGGAAUAUUGCACAAUGGGCGGAAGGCUGAUGCAGCAACGCAGCGUGCGGGAUGACAGCCUUCGGGUUGUAAACCGCUUUCGCCUGUGACGAAGCGUGAGUGACGGUAAUGGGUAAAGAAGCACCGGCUAACUACGUG